UACAGAGGGUGCGAGCGUUAAUCGGAAUUACUGGGCGUAAAGCGUGCGUAGACGGUUUUGUAAGUCGGAUGUGAAAUCCCCGGGCUCAACCUGGGAAUUGCGUUGGAGACUGCAAGGCUGGAGUCUGGCAGAGGGGGGUAGAAUUCCACGUGUAGCAGUGAAAUGCGUAGAGAUGUGGAGGAACACCGAUGGCGAAGGCAGCCCCCUGGGUCAAGACUGACGCUCAUGCACGAAAGCGUGGGGAGCAAACAGG
rnacentral:rRNA from 1 species